AGAUUUGAAGGCAAUGGGGCUGCUACAUCUGCACCCCAGUGAUCGCCAGAGUUGAUUCCACUCAUCUGGCUGGCUACGCGGGUGACCCGUUCCUCCCUUGCCACUGCAUGUUCAUCCCUCCCAAAGCUGUGUAAUGGGUGGAGGAGGAUGACCUUCCCUGAUAAAGGAGGACCUCUCUUUGGUCAAGAGGAUGCAAGUAGCUGCACUCUUUGCUGGACCCUCAACACAAACCCUCAAGAUCCAUUAGUAACAGAAUGUACGGGGCAUCAAGGUUCAUAGAUUCCAGAUACAUCCAAAUGAGGUGCGGCAUGGGCAGUCUGCAUUUCUUA
rfam:Felis catus isolate Cinnamon breed Abyssinian chromosome E2, whole genome shotgun sequence.